ensembl:lncRNA
AGCAGCCAAAAGAAAAAUGAGAAUAGUCUAGGCUGAUUAAUGUAACAUGACUACGCCUAGCAUCCACUGCUUCCUCCAAGUUUGUAUAAUCAUCAGCUCAAGUACUCCAAAAAUAAGAAAUAGUAAGGAAGUGGGGUGUGCUUCUUUGCAUCAGGGACCAGAAAUUACCAGUGAAGAACAUGUUUCACUGGCAGUACUCUUAUAAUGCUAACACCUGAUGUCACAUCACACUGACGUGCAAUUCCACUGGGUUUUACAUGAAGACACUUAACUUAUUAAUGCCAUCAGGAGAUUCUCUAAGAGUGUAAGCUGUGGAGAAGCCAACUGCUCUGUGUCACUAGAUGGUCUGUAUUGAGAUUUCUAGAAUGGCGAAAUCAUAAGUCAGAUAAAAAAAAAACCCUUAGGCAAAAUGCUUAACUCUGGUCCUUGCUGAAAAAUCACUGAGAAUGAAUCUUUAAAAGCAUUGAGAAAUCAUUUGUAGUAGGGAGGGGGUUGUAUUGAUGAUCAGUAAGGCUUCUUUCCACUCUUAAUUUCUGAUCUCAUGAUAUAAAUAUGAAAUGAGCUCAUCUAUGGAAAAUAGCAUUUUCUAUACAAAUGAAAGCUAUUAUUGUUACAGGAUAACUUUUUUUUUUAAAACCCUUAUCUUCUGUCUUGGAGUCAAUACUAUGUAUUGACUCCAAGGCAGAAGAGUGGUAAGGGCUAGGCAAUGGGGGUCAAGUGACUUGUCCAGGGUCACACAGCUGGGAAGUGUCUAAGGUGUAAAGAUUAAAAUUUAAGGGAGACUAAGGCAGGUAGAAAUUAGUUUCUCUCUGCAAGGAGUAUUAUAUUUUUUAGAGGUUUAUUAAAGGUUAAGCAUUUAAGUAUAUACAAGUAAGAAAAGGCACGUGCCAGGUGGGCCAUGAGGCCCACCCAAAAUUUCACUCACAUCAUGAGACUUGUCUGUUUGCCAGCGGAGACAGAAAGUAAGAGAGCCCCGCCUAUGGGGAAGACCCUUUAAAUAAAAUUUUGCUCUCGUCCCA